rnacentral:rRNA from 1 species
UACGUAGGGUGCAAGCGUUGUCCGGAAUUAUUGGGCGUAAAGAGCUCGUAGGCGGUCUGUUGCGUCGGCUGUGAAAACCCGGGGCUCAACCCCGGGCCUGCAGCCGAUACGGGCAGACUAGAGUUCGGCAGGGGAGACUGGAAUUCCUGGUGUAGCGGUGAAAUGCGCAGAUAUCAGGAGGAACACCGGUGGCGAAGGCGGGUCUCUGGGACGGUAUUGACGCUGAGACGCGAAAGCGUGGGGAGCAAACAGG